GCGCCUGUGGCCCAAUGGAUAGGGCACUAGCCUCCGGAGCUAGUGGUACAGGUUCAACUCCUGUCAGGCGCA
rnacentral:tRNA from 1 species